UCGAAGCCAGGCGAGCGAUGGGAUUAGAUACCCCUGUAGUCCUGGCCGUAAACGAUGAACACUAGGUGUCGGGGGAAUCGACCCCCUCGGUGUCGUAGCCAACGCGUUAAGUGUUCCGCCUGGGGAGUACGCACGCAAGUGUGAAACUCAAAGGAAUUGACGGGGGCCCGCACAAGCGGUGGAGUAUGUGGUUUAAUUCGAUGCAACGCGAAGAACCUUACCAGGGUUUGACAUCCUGCGAAUCCCUUGGAAACGAGGGAGUGCCUUCGGGAGCGCAGAGACAGGUGGUGCAUGGCUGUCGUCAGCUCGUGUCGUGAGAUGUUGGGUUAAGUCCCGCAACGAGCGCAACCCACGUCGUUAGUUGCCAGCAUUCAGUUGGGCACUCUAGCGAGACCGCCGGUGAUAAACCGGAGGAAGGUGUGGAUGACGUCAAGUCAUCAUGCCCCUUACAUCCUGGGCUACACACGUACUACAAUGCUACGGACAAAGGGCAGCGAGCUCGCGAGAGUAAGCAAAUCCCAUAAACCGUGGCUCAGUUCAGAUCGUAGGCUGCAACUCGCCUACGUGAAGGAGGAAUCGCUAGUAAUCACAGGUCAGCAUACUGCGGUGAAUACGUUCCCGGGCCUUGUACACACCGCCCGUCACACCAUGGAAGUUGGCCACGCCCGAAGUCGUUACUCCAACCCGGCAAGGGAGGAGGACGC
rnacentral:rRNA from 1 species